AGAUGACCUUCCGCUCCCAAGAGGGUUCUUGCUUUGAACAACAUAGCUGGAAGGCUGGACGAAUCAUACUGUUAAAGGAAAAUUACAUAACAGCCUUGGUCAGGUAGCCAAGGAAGUGAUGGUAGCACAGAUGCUGUGGGUGGACUCAGUACUGCUGCGUCUGCAUCUCCUUCCUCAGUGCUCUGGCUCUCCAGCCUGCAGACCUGUGUCGCCCAAAGCACAACGGAAGUUGUGUACAUUUGAAGACCACUAGUACCGAUAGGACUGUGAUUGGAGUCCAGAUCUGGGGUCCAUCUGCAGCCAUCAGAUCCUGGCUCCCCCACUCCCCUGGGGUGUGACUGGGUAAGUCAUCUCCCCAUGCCUUAGCUUUUUCACAUGCAAAGUUAAAAUAAUGAUAUACCACAUUUUUUUCUUUCUAUGCCUUUUCAAAAUACACUUCUGGAAAAGGAACUGAAGGGGCUGGCCUUUAAAUCAUGUCUGAGUCAUCAUACAGAGCUAUUAGUGACCUUUAUCAAAGGAUGAUUAAUGAGCUAAUGGAGCAUUUAGGAGUGCCCAGCACACACUGGAUGCUCUUUAAGUGUUAGCUGUCACUAUUAAUUUUCUUACUUUGGCCUGGGCUGAUGAAAGCUUUAUCAGGGGCUAGCACCUGUCCAUACAGAUUUGGAAACCCAUGGACUGCACAGCUUCUAGGGCAGUCUUUUCUGAUAAUACUGCUUCUCAAGCUAUUUCAAAACUCCUUAUUUGUGGAGGCUAUGUUUGAUACUGCUUAUUUUCUCACUGCAUUUCUACUAAUCCUGGGGCUCGCACAACAGGAGUCCUGGCAUAUGGAAGACCACCAAACAAUAAGUGGCUGGCUGGUGGAGGUUCCACGUGAGUGCCAGGCCACCGUAUACGUUUCAGCAGUAACUCUGAACAAAAUCCUUAACAUUAACGCAGCACUUACUGUAUGCCCAGCACUGUGAAGCCCUUUUUGUGUAGUCAGUUGUCACAGUGCCCUGGGAGGUUACCAGUAAGUGGUAGAGCCUGGAUUCAAACCCAGGCAGUUUAAUGCUAGAGUCUGUGCAGUAAGUCUCUAAUGAGGCUGCCUUUCAGGCCACGGCUGAGAGAUCUGACAUCCACACUGAAUUCUCCUUUUCUAAAAGUUCCAAUUCAGCAGCAAAACCUGCCAUCCCCAAGCUGCUAAAAGCACAAAGGCAACCUGGGGUUUUCAUGCAAUGCAGCAGCGAGUUUUACCAGCCCCACAUGACACUGUGAGCUCCCCAAGAGGAUUUUGAUAUUAGCUUACCGAAGCAGUUCACCUUGGACUUCAAUCAAGUGCUGCCUUUUCUUGUCAAUAUCUGAAGCCAUCUAAGUAAUAGAAUAAUUUCUUUGUUAAAAAUGCUUGAGUAUCAUCAAGUAACACUGUGCCAGGUAUUGGAAAUACAAUGGGAAAUAAGACAGACGCCACUCUCACCAUCAUGGAACUUUGGUCUAACAGGGAAGACAGACAUUGUACCCAAACAGUACAUAAUCACCACUUAGAGUAUGUACUGCAGGGAGACCUUACUACUCUGUAAGCUGUACAGUAAGGCAUUUCAGCUUAUCUAGGUACACUAAGAAAAUCUUAAAGCAGGAGACUAGCUUUAACAUGACAUGAUCUACAUUUUUGAACAUUUCAAUAUAAUACAUUUUGUUAUCCUCAGUGCAACAUCCUAAUAUUCCAUUGCUGGCCAUUCAUACUAUUCCCAUGUGUUGUAAGUAAUAAGAAAUUAAAACUAAAACAAAGGUUUAUAAUCACUAAAAGGAAAACCUACAUUUCAAGUCCUUUUCUGAGGUGAAGGUUGAGGGAGCUGUUCUUCAGCUCCUGGGCUCAUGCAGGUUCAGAGCUAGAAUCCCAGAGGUCUCUGGUCCAACCAGAAACUGAUGGGGACAGUUUCCUGGCUUGUUUCUCCUAUACACAGUGGUGUACAGUUUUCAGAAAGGUGGUAUGGCUCUGAACAGGCAGAACCACAAUAGGAAAGGAGGCCUCCUGGCCCUUAAGCAGGCUGUCCUUUACCAGGGACAGCUCUUUAAAAGGUUUGCUUUUUCACAUCCACAAAGGUGAUACACGCACAUUACUUAAUACUUAGCCUCAAAAUGGAUAUCCACUUGUAUGGACAGCUAGGAUGCCCGUUUGUUAAUGUGCAGUCAGAGUACUCAACCACAGGAUCAGCCAAGUCAAAGUCUGAUUAGAGGCCAUAAACCCAGAGUUGAGUCUUCACCCUGCAUGUGUUCGUGUUCUUUCUAGAAGAUCAUGUGCUCCCAAGUGACUUACCUUAGCAUUCUUCCUUUUCAGAGUUUUCAGUGUCUGGACUUCUUUAAGCUACACAAAAUAAAAAGUAUCACGUGUAUUUUCCAAAUUAAACCAUGAGAUACAGAAAGUUCUUUACCGCAUUGUCAGCAAAUGCCAUCUUGCCCGGCGGUUAGUUACUGCCUCAGGAUUAGUUACAAAAGAAACUCAGAUCAAAUUUAAGUCAGUGAACUUACUAUUUUGAUGAGUUCUUCUUUCAUAUUACAAUGAAACUUGUUGAUGGCUUCCUUACAAAUUUUAGAUUCUAUUUUUUGUCUGUAUCAGAAAAAAAAGGAUCAAACUAUCACAUAAAGGAUUUGGAAAGAUACGUUUCAUUUGCUAAGUACAUCAACAAGCAAUUUGGCAUAUGCCAUUUUUAAUAUCUAAGAUGGCAUACUCAGCUUACAGCCCUUUUCUCAGGCUUAAAAAAUAUUGGAAAUGUCUCAACAAUGGGAAAAGAACAGGAAAUAUUUUUCCCUAAACCUUCAGGUGGGUGGUUAGCUUUGCUCCAACAAUGGCCACAUGCCCCGGUGAAGGCAAGUGACAUACCAGUGCCCACAGCCAGUCCCCAGAUCCCUGCCCGGCAGACUGAGUUCCUCCCUCCUGCCAGCUGGAGGAGUAACUGCAUAGUCGUGUCUGGACUAACCAACCGUAAGUACACAGAAGCCAGCCACCCACUGCUCCAAGCAGGAUAAAGCUGAGCCAACAGACGGACUGGCUCGGGCCCUGUCACAUCUAGUCGCUCAGUCUGGCUCACUCCUCGCUGAACGGCAGGCUCACAGGGACUGCGCAGGAGCAGCCAGACCCCAGCUCUGCCCCAGCGCAGUAGGACACUGCAGUUUCCAGUGCCCUUGAACUGACUGUAAUACAUCUCAUGGAUCAAAGUCAUUUUUCUUGGGGGCAAAUCCAUAGAAGUCGCCCAGAAGAAGUGUACCAAGCCCGUGGCCCAAAUUUUCAGAAGCUAAACAUAACAUGAGAGAAGGCCUGCUCUUUGGACACAGUUCUUUGUAUAAGUUCUCAUCAAAAAAUGGGUGUUACUAUUUCUAGUGACAGCAAGAUGGUGGAAUAGGAAGCCCCCAGACCUCAUUCCCAUACAGGGAAAACAGCUUAACAACUAUAUAAUUCAAGAAAUCACUUAAGAAGUUGCAGUACCCCCAGCAAGUCCAAAGCCAAGAACGGUGCAUGGAACAGGGUGCUCCCUGGGGCAUGGUUUCUGUGCCACCUGAACUAGUUUGGAUGCCUGGGGUGGCAGAGAUCAAGAGGGAGCUCCGCAGCUUGAGACAGCGCCGGAGAACCUGCAGUACCACAGCCCAGACACUAGAGGGAGCUCAACCCUCUUAACUCGUGGAAGAGAAAAGGCAAACCUCUCCAGUUGGGGAAUGACAUGCAUAAGCCCACAGAAGGUACAGCCCAGGAAAGAGAACUGAAAGACUAAGCUGAUUGAAAACCAGUCUGCAAAGACUGGAAGAAUUGGUAGCUUUUUGAAAUACACAAAACAACAAAAACAGCACAAGAAGAAAGGGGAAAACAUAACCCAACAAAGGGAACAAUCCCUCCAGAAACAGGAAACCGGUGAAUUACCCAACAAAUUGAAAUCCAUGCCAGAGAACAAGAUAGUAAUACAUUCUUCCAACUAUGUUGUUAAUUACAACAAAUAUGAGCAGACUAAAAGUCAACAGGUGAAAUCAAAAGAUGAACACAUUGGAUUUUAAAGAGAUAUUAUAAAAAAUAUUAAAACUUAAGGUGAAAUGUCAGAAGUAAAAGUAAAAAAUGUAAAAUCUGGCAUAGACUACUACCAAAAGAAGUGUAGUGACACAGUAAGAAAAUGUUCAGUCUACUAGACAGCAAAUUUUAAGCCUGUUCUAAUAAAACAGUCUUUAAACGUAUCUAAAUAUAUAUAGCAUAAAUUGAUGGAAGUACCAGGAAAAAUUGAAUACUGAUUCUGUACAAAUCCAAGAUUAAACAUAAACCCACUAGAGAUUCCCCACAGAUUACAUACUAGGCCAUAGAGAGCCACAAAAUUGCCACACACACAAAAAAGGUAUCCCCAGCCUAUGAUAUUCAACAAGAUAUUUUGAGAUAGAAGGUUAAAACAAAAAUUUUAAGUCAUAUUUGGGCAUACAAAAACACUACUAAAUAAUUCCUGGGAUGAAAGAAAAAAAAAUUAAAAUGAACAAUAAUGAGAUUAUAUGUGUCAAACACUGGGAUGAGCAGAAGUGGUACUUCAAGGGAGACUUACUUAUAUCCCAGGAGGGUUUCCUCAAAUGCAGACAAAACAACGUCUAACUCCAUAAUGUCACUGGUUUUCUUUUCUUUUAGACACCAAAUAUGUACAUAGUCAGGAAAACCUAGAACAUUAAGUCAAUUUAAUAUAUUGCCAGUACUGGCUCUUAAGUCCAGGGUUCUGAAAACCAACAAAAAAACUAUCCCACCAAGUUGCUAAAAAUAACUCCAACUGAAGCCGUACAAGGGGGGAGCCGUACUCACAUCUUCCGACCCCGGGCAGGGGGCACUCCCAAGGCCCUGUCUGUGCCUCCCUCUGCCCUCUGCUUGGUUCUCCACAUCUGCUGAAGCAGCCUAAGCCCGCUGCCCCUCAGCAGCCUUACCGUGCCUUUCCCUAAUAGUCUGUUGCCCCACGAGCUGGUGAUAGAGCUGUUUGUUAAUCGGCACUUCUUAACUUACAUAACAGGCCACUUUUAGAACGCAAAGAUUACUCACUGUACUGACUUAGUUAAUAUCUAGUAACAUUAAAUACAGUACAGUCAUGAAAUGAAAUAUUGCGUAUUAAAAUGGUACUGUACAAGGCUUAGUGACAAGUUGUGAUCCCAUUUAGGGGGAGAAAAGCUCAGCAAAAGGACUGAAGAGUAAAAUUCAAAAGCCAUGAUGGUUAUUUUGGGGUGAUGGAAUGGCAGGUAAUCUUAUCUUCCCAUCCCUCAAAAUUUCCUAAAAUAAGCAUUUUUAUAAAAGAAAAUAUCUUUUAGAAGGCUGAAGGAGAGAAAAUGCUUUUUGUGUCAAUGAAAACGAUACAGAGUAACAUGGAUGAAUCUCAGUUAUGUUGAGUAAAAGAAGCCUUAUACGAAAGAAUACACUCUGUGCUGAAAAAGUAAAAAAGAUUACUAUGAGAAAAAUCUAGGUACUGGGGAUAUGAACUUAUAUUGUAAAAUUCUUUCGCCUUUGUUGUAUGUUGAAAGUUUUUAUGAUAGAUAUUGGGAAAAAUCAGUUACUCCAAAGUCAAUACUUUUAACAUUUUAAAGUGGCAUUUUAAAAUGUAAAACAUUUUAACAUUUUAACAAUAUGUUCAUUUAAAUAAAAUUUUUGAAUGAUUGACAAAGUAUAAAAUACUGGUCUGUA